UACGGAGGGUGCGAGCGUUGUCCGGAAUCACUGGGCGUAAAGGGCGCGUAGGUGGCACGGGUAGUCGUCGGUGAAAGCUCAGGGCUCAACCCUGAGUCGGCCGGUGAUACUCCCGAGCUCGAGUGUGGUAGAGGCCAAUGGAAUUCCGGGUGUAGCGGUGGAAUGCGUAGAGAUCCGGAAGAACAUCGGUGGCGAAAGCGCUCUACUGGACGGUAUCUGACACUGAGGGACGAAAGCUAGGGGAGCGAAUGGG
rnacentral:rRNA from 1 species